AUUUAAGUAAUUUAAAAUAAAAUGUUGAUUUGUGGUGUCAGAUAUGUAAUAUAUUACCUUAAAUU
rnacentral:tRNA from 1 species